CGAUUUAUUCCGAGAACUUACAUUUGAAAACCAAUAGAUGGCGCUACAGUAACAACCGGAUGUUUUCAUUUUAUUCGUCGACCCUGUGGAUGUUUCCAGUCGGGUUGUGUACAGUAGGCUAAAGUACUAACCAUAAUCAUUGACAGCUAUAAUGGCAACAUAUAAACGAACCAUUAGCGACGAAGAAUCAAGUUUCAACUCAGACAUUGAAAUGUUUUCUCACUGUAAAAGACUUAAAAGGCCGAAAUUGACAGAGCUGUCAGAGGGAAAAUUGAACGAUGUUGGAGUUUUCUUCUCGAUGAAACCUAUAUCUAUGGAUAAUUUGAUUAAAAAUCUUAAAAUUUUACAGAAAGGAUCUAAAGGUUCUGGAGACUUUCCCACCACUAUUGAUUCACUCAAAAAAUUCACCGGGGACCUUCUUAGCUUUUCAUUACCUUGUGUCAAUUGGAAUAAGAAGUCAACCUUACCAAUAGCAUUAAUGUUACAAGAAGUGGAAAUAGAACAAGAAUCGUUAAUGAUUAUCUGUACAAUUAACAAAACAUUAUCUGACUUCUAUGAAAAAACGAGGUGGAGAGGGAAUGACAAUCUUCCAACUUUAAUAUUAACCGACAGAUUAAAUAAUAGGUAAAUCUCUGAAUGUGGGACAACUUGGCCCAGAGACAACUCGAAAUGAGUCAACUGGGACUGACAAAUACAAAUACUGUUUGAACACUGGUAUCACAAAGUAUUUCUGUUUGUUUCUGGUAUGAAAGAAAUCCUUGAAAAGUUGAUAAAUCCCUGUCCAGUUCCACCUGGAAAAUAUUCUGAUCAAGAAAUUUUACAAGAAAGUGUGUUCACGCAAAUAUUCCUCAAGUUUGCACAGAUAUGUUUUCUCAAUCCAGAAGUUGGGGAAGCUAGCAAAAAAUGUUUAAAAAUAAGAAAUAAAACUGUUGGUUAUAUAUCUGAUGUAAGAUUUUAUCAGCAUGAAACUAAAGCUGGAUCACCUCAUUUAUUGAUGUUGUUGGUAGAGGUUAAAAACAAUGGUUUAAGUCAGACAGAUGGUGACAAGGAUUCAGCUACUCCUUGGAUAGAGGGAUAUUUGGACAAAUGUAUACUAGAACCGAUAGGGCUCCAACUAAUGUCUGACAUUUGGAACUCAACAUUUGCUCCAAGUACUCUUGCAGUUGUUUGUAUGAGGACUGAGGUCAUUUUCAUGUUACUGGAGGCUGAUUUGGAACACUAUGAAGCUUGGCUAAUAAAUAAAAACACUGACAACUUUAAAUCGUUUAUACAGUACACCAGAUCAUAUAAUAUUAUGGUAGCAGAUGAUAGGAGACAGUUAUUAGACCUACUAUUUUGGUUGGGAUGUAGUCAGAAGGGAGACUUUGAACGUUACUUUUUCUUUUGAUAUAAAAAAAAACAUGUAUAUAUUAUGUUCGGAUAAUGUAAAUUGCAAAGAAAUUUGUAUAUAUGUACAUAUAAGAAUGUUUAUAUUCUUACGCAUAUAACGUAUUUUGUACAUUUGAAAUUAUAUUAUGAUUAAAGUAUAAAAAGUU